CCUACGGGAGGCAGCAGUGGGGAAUAUUGGGCAAUGGGCGCAAGCCUGACCCAGCAACGCCGCGUGAAGGAAGAAGGCUUUCGGGUUGUAAACUUCUUUUGACAGGGAAGAGCAGAAGACGGUACCUGUCGAAUAAGCCACGGCUAACUACGUGCCAGCAGCCGCGGUAAUACGUAGGUGGCAAGCAUUGUCCGGAUUUACUGGGGGUAAAGGGCGUGUAGCCGGGCUGACAAGUCAGGGGUGAAAACCCCGCGCUCAACGUGGGAACUGCCUUUGAAACUGGCAAACUGGCGUUUGUGAGAGGAUAGUGGAAUUCCAGGUGUAGGAGUGAACUCCGUAGAUAUCUGGAGGAACAUCAGUGGCGAAGGCGACUAUCUGGCACAUAACUGACGCUGAGGAGCGAAAGCGUGGGUAGCAAACAGGAUUAGAUACCCCUGUAGUC
rnacentral:rRNA from 1 species